UCAGAGACCUCUGGCAUGGUGUUGUGGGACAGCUGGUGUUGUGAAUCAGGCCGUUGCCAAUCAGAGAACGGCUACUUCACAACACCAGGGUCUCACUGCACUGCAGGCAUCUGGCAGCAGC
rnacentral:pre_miRNA from 14 species